UUUGUAGCUUGAAAGGUGUAAUGCUUUUGAGCUGUGAUCUUUCUGCUAAAACUCUUUCUAUAGCCAAGGUGAUACUCAUUGAAGGAGAGACCUUAAUACCAACAAGCUUGGGGACAAGCUUAUCCGAGGGACUUCUGUGGAUGGUCACGGUAUCUCUAAGUUGCGUGGUUUCAACCAAUCCUCUUUGGCUCGAGCGAGGGCCGUGUCUGCUUUUGAGGACAACAGUCAGGAUGUACAGCGGAGGGAACAUAAUCCUCUUGAGAGGAUUAUGUUCAAGUACAUUGAGCUAUGUGUUGAUACGCGGAGGGGGAGAUUUGCCAAGGAUGUUCAAGUACAUUGAGCUAUAUGUUCAAGUACAUGGAAAAUGUAGAUGAAUGUAUUUCAUUUUGAUAUUAUUAUAAUAUUUUGAUGUUAUUAAGUGCUUAAUCAA